CCAAUUAAAGUACGUUUUUAUAUAUUUGUAUUUAUUUUUGUGUUACAUUAUAGUUGUUACUUCUGAAUUUAGCCUGUUACUGUAAGGAGCGCAUACGGAACUGGAAGGACUGGGAGAGAUUCCCUUGUGAACUGUGAAAUAAAAUUGUCUCAGUGUCAGGUGAUAUAGCAAAGAAAGAAGCUCUGUUGGAUUCAAAAGAACAUAAUGGUGGAGUCUCCGAAAUGACAGAUGACCAUAAAACGAGAGGAGAAAUACUCUUAACUUCCCAAUGAAUACAGCGGAAGAACCAUCAUGGUCAUAAAGUGUUUCAUAUAGCCCUGAAUUGCUUGCCCAAUAUUAUUAUUAUUUGUUUAUUUAGCAGACGCCUUUAUCCAAGGCGAAUUACAGAGACUAGGGUGUGUGAACUAUGCAUCAGCUGCAGAGUCACUUACAAUUACGUCUCACCCAAAAGACGGAGCACAAGGAGGUUAAGUGACUUGCUCAGGGUCACACAGUGGCUGAGGUGGGAUUUGAACUGGGGACCUCCUGGUUACAAGCCCUUUUCUUUAACCACUGGACCACACAGCCUCCAAUAACACUAUAGAGGACAAUUACCUUGAAUGUGUGAAAAAUACAGAGAAUCAUCUCCUUGAACCUUGGACAUCCCUGAACAACAUUCUAAGUACAGAAAUGUAGGGAACUCUUAACGGCAUCCUCAAUUUGGCAAACAGUAAAAAUAUCCUGAGUAUUGAAAUGUCGUAUGACCCUGUACAGCACUAGGUGUACAUCACCAGUUAUAACUAUAUUUUUUACUAAAUGAUGUAUGAUACAGCAUGAAUGUUCACAGAACAUUCUAGUUAUUCCACCAAUGAGAAUGGCCAAUGAAGUGAAAUGGGUUGUUUAUGGUUGUACUCAUGAGUGUAAUAAACAGAGAACUCAAUGUACCAUCAUGG